CGCUAGGACCUGGAGGGCUAGUCGGCGGGCUGCGCGUCCGGCCGCUAGCUGAGCUGGAGGCCACCGGCCAGAGCCGACCCCAGGAGUGAGAGAGACAGGGGCGUGCGUGAGUUCCGGCGGCCUGCACCGGGCAAACCCCGUACCUUCCCAGCAUCGGCUCAGCAACCCACGUGCAUCCAGGCCGGUCAAUGUCAUUGAGUCACCUCCGCGCCUUGGCCACCCUGGAGUCCCGAGAAUCCGAAGUUCCAGACAAAUGCCCAAACUACAUUCCUGCAUGUUCGAAAGCGUAAAUUGCAAAGCACAAAUCCAGUUGUAGAUUGUGGCCGGGAGCAGUGGCUCACGCCUAUAAUCCCAGCACUUUGGGAGGCCGAGGCGGACAGAUCACGAGGUCAGCACUUCGAGACCAGCAUGGCCAACAUGGUGAAGCCCCAUCUCUACUAAAAAUACAAACAUUAGCCAGGCAUGGUGGUAGGCCCCUGUAAUCCCAGCUACUCGGUAGGCUGAGGCAGGAGAAUCACUUGAACCCGGGAGGCAGAGGUUUCAGUGAGCUGAGACUGCACCAUUGCACUCCAGCCUGGGCGACAGACCAAGACUCCAUCUCAAAAAAAAAAAAAAAAAAGUUAUAGAUUGUAAGGAAAAUACCCCCAAGGAAGUUGAGGACACAGCAGACUUGGACUGUCUCCAAACCUGUUCAUUCUUCUGAGUGCACUGCUCGGAGCAUCCUAUUGGGCAGCAUAUCCUGGCCUCCUUUCCAGUUCGAUGUGGUACUAUACCUGAUUUCUGGCCAAUAAAAUAUGAGAGGACAUGAAAUUCAACAGCCCCUGGGCUUGGCUUAUAAAACCUUCCAUGCAAUCCUCCACACCUUUUCACCUCUCAGCUGCUGAGACUUUUCUAGGCACUACACAGAAGCAGCCUGGGUCUCCAGUAGCAAAGGAGAGCAGAUCCUUCUCACUAUCCUGCACCGAACUGUGACAUGAGCAAAAAAUAAAGUUUUUAUUUUCUUACACCAUUGAGAUUUGAGGAUUGCUAGAGCAGUUAGUCUUCCCAGCCUAAUACAGUAUUAGUAGAGGACAAUUAGGCCAG
rnacentral:lncRNA from 1 species